AGAUCAAAAUGUAACAUUGCUCCCAAUUCAGAUUCCAGUUGGUCUCAUGCAUGGGCAAUUACAUAAGUCGUGAUGCUGACAGAGCAACGCUGAGACAUGCUCUCUGGCACGUGGCCUCCUCUGUUUGGUGGCCAGUUUCAGUUUCCUGAUAGGUCUUGUUCUGUAGCUCAUCCGGGACAGAUAUGUGACAGGGAGCCAAGGACAAGCAGAAAGUCUGCAAGCGCAGGAAAGGUUAAGUCAUCUUGACCCUGUUCUACCUUCCGUAGAAGGAACCACUGAGCUUGGACUUGCUGGAAAACAUGUGGGCAGUUUUCCUUGAGAAGUGCCAGGCUGAGACUCCUACUUGCUACAACCCACCCAGGGCCAGUCAUGCCUCUGCCACCAGCAAUGAGGACACCAAGGGUUUCAAAAGUUCUAUCUGGAUUUUUUUUUCCCUUAAGAAAAAAAAAAAAAACACAACUACUACUCUACUACUCUAUGUAACUGGUGAUGUGGACCCAUCAUUUGGCCUGGAGAGGAGCGUCUGAAACCGGGAGCCUUGCUCGUGCUGCGAGCACAGCCGGCCGGCCUCAGCGUCCUCAGCAUCCUCAGCGUCCUCAGCUCCGAGCGGCUGUUUGCACAAAUGACUGUGUCUCCAGCUCUUCCGGAGAGAACUCUGGUUCUUGUUAGCAGCUUUCCAGCUUUGAUCGCCAAGCCCGAGACAGGAGAGUUGCGCCUUUUGAAGUAGCCAAUGUUGCUCAUUCAAAGGCAACAGAGUUUGAUCACCUUUGGUUGGAUGCUUGUCAGCUGGGACAUGAGAUCCUGGUAUUUGGCUGCCAUCCACACUGGCCACAGGGGCAACCAGAAAAUCCCUAAAUGGAAAUCACUUAAAAACAUUGACGAUGGUCAAGGUGCUAAAAGUAGAAAUCCACUUGUAGAAAUCGUAUAAAAACGUUCUUAACUCCUAACUCUGGGAAACGGA